GAUGAACGCUGGCGGCGUGCUUAACACAUGCAAGUCGAACGAUGAAGCCCAGCUUGCUGGGUGGAUUAGUGGCGAACGGGUGAGUAACACGUGAGUAACCUGCCCUUAACUCUGGGAUAAGCCUGGGAAACUGGGUCUAAUACCGGAUAGGAGCGUCCACCGCAUGGUGGGUGUUGGAAAGAUUUAUCGGUUUUGGAUGGACUCGCGGCCUAUCAGCUUGUUGGUGAGGUAAUGGCUCACCAAGGCGACGACGGGUAGCCGGCCUGAGAGGGUGACCGGCCACAACGGGACUGAGGCACGGCCCAGGCCCCCUCGGGGAGCAAGAGUGGGGGAAAAUGCACAAUUGGGCAAAGCCUGAAGCAACGGACCCGCGUGGGGGAAUACCGCCUUUGGGGUUGUAACCUCUUUCCGUAAGGAAAAAGCGAAAGUGAAGGUUCCUUGCGAAGGAAGAACCGCUAAAUUCGUG
rnacentral:rRNA from 1 species